rnacentral:rRNA from 1 species
GUGAACCUGCGGAAGGAUCAUUACCGAGUGUAGGGUUCCUAGCGAGCCCAACCUCCCACCCGUGUUUACUGUACACUUAGUUGCUUCGGCGGGCCCGCCAUUCAUGGCCGCCGGGGGCUCUCAGCCCCGGGCCCGCGCCCGCCGGAGACACCACGAACUCUGUCUGAUCUAGUGAAGUCUGAGUUGAUUGUAUCGCAAUCAGUUAAAACUUUCAACAAUGGAUCUCUUGGUUCCGGCAUCGAUGAAGAACGCAGCGAAAUGCGAUAACUAGUGUGAAUUGCAGAAUUCCGUGAAUCAUCGAGUCUUUGAACGCACAUUGCGCCCCCUGGUAUUCCGGGGGGCAUGCCUGUCCGAGCGUCAUUGCUGCCCAUCAAGCACGGCUUGUGUGUUGGGUCGUCGUCCCCUCUCCGGGGGGGACGGGCCCCAAAGGCAGCGGCGGCACCGCGUCCGAUCCUCGAGCGUAUGGGGCUUUGUCACCCGCUCUGUAGGCCCGGCCGGCGCUUGCCGAACGCAAAUCAAUCUUUUUCCAGGUUGACCUCGGAUCAGGUAGGGAUACCCGCUGAACUUAAGCAUAUCAA